AUGGUGCACCCCCAGUCAGGCUCGCAGCCGUUGACCCAUAACGUGAGGUUGCAGUUCUUGUUGGGCUUGACGACCCUGAGGACCAAGAUUGAGAGCUCACAGACUGCUUUCAGGAGGGCUGCUGCCUUGCCGAUAAUGCUUGGCCAUGGAAGAGGGGACGAGGUAGUCACGUACAGGAACGGUGAGAGGUCAGCCGAGUUUCUGCGGAACUCGGGCUUUUCUUACCUGAAUUUGAAAGCCUACAACGGACUAGGCCAUCACACCAUCCCUGAGGAAAUGGACGAUGUCUCCAAGUGGCUCAGGGCAAGGCUCGGGCUUGAUCGCUCUUGCGGCUAA
rnacentral:rRNA from 1 species